rnacentral:rRNA from 1 species
AUUGAACGCUGGCGGCAUGCCUUACACAUGCAAGUCGAACGGCAGCACGGGGCAACCUGGUGGCGGGUGGCGAACGGGUGAGUAAUGCAUCGGAACGUACCUUUCAGUGGGGGAUAACGUAGCGAAAGUUACGCUAAUACCGCAUAUUCUGUGAGCAGGAAAGCAGGGGAUCGCAAGACCUUGCGCUGAUUGAGCGGCCGAGGUCAGAUAAGCUAGUUGGUGAGGUAAAGGCUCACCAAGGCGACGAUCUGUAGCGGGUCUGAGAGGAUGAUCCGCCACACUGGAACUGAGACACGGUCCAGACUCCUACGGGAGGCAGCAGUGGGGAAUUUUGGACAACGGGGGCAACCCUGAUCCAGCCAUGCCGCGUGAGUGAAGAAGGCCUUCGGGUUGUAAAGCUCUUUCGGCCGGGAAGAAAUCGCACGGGCUAAUACCCUGUGUGGAUGACGGUACCGGAAUAAGAAGCACCGGCUAACUACGUGCCAGCAGCCGCCGUAACAC